rnacentral:rRNA from 1 species
AGCAGCCGCGGUAAUUCCAGCUCCAAUAGCGUAUAUUAAAGUUGUUGCAGUUAAAAAGCUCGUAGUUGAAUUUCGGGGUUCUUCCGUUGGUCAGGCUAACAAGUCUGUACUAGCGUGUAGAAUCUCUACCUUCUGGGGAACCAUCAUGUUAUUAAUUUAGCGUGGUGGGAAACCAGGACCUUUACCUUGAAAAAAUUAGAGUGUUCAAAGCAGGCUUACGUCUGAAUACAUUAGCAUGGAAUAAUAAAAUAGGACGGUGGUCCUGUUUUGUUGGUUUCUGAAUCACCGUAAUGAUUAAUAGGGAUAGUUGGGGGCAUUAGUAUUCAAUUGUCAGAGGUGAAAUUCUUGGAUUUAUUGAAGACUAACUUCUGCGAAAGCAUUUGCCAAGGAUGUUUUCAUUAAUCAAGAACGAAAGUUAGGGGAUCGAAGACGAUCAGAUACCGUCGUAGUCUUAACCAUAAACUAUGCCGACUAGGGAUCGGAUGA